rnacentral:rRNA from 1 species
UACGUAGGUGGCAAGCGUUGUCCGGAUUUACUGGGCGUAAAGAGCGCGCAGGCGGUCGUUCAAGUCGCGUGUGAAAGCCCCCGGCUCAACUGGGGAGGGUCACGCGAUACUGAUCGACUCGAAGGCAGGAGAGGGUAGUGGAAUUCCCGGUGUAGCGGUGGAAUGCGUAGAUAUCGGGAGGAACACCAGCGGCGAAGGCGGCUCACUGGUCCGGUACUGACGCUGAGGUGCGCAAGCGUGGGGAGCAAACAGG